UACGGGGGGAGCAAGCGUUGUUCGGAUUUACUGGGCGUAAAGGGCGCGUAGGCGGCGUGACAAGUCACUUGUGAAAUCUCCGGGCUUAACUCGGAGCGGCCAAGUGAUACUGUCGUGCUAGAGUGCGGGAGAGGGAUGCGGAAUUCCAGGUGUAGCGGUGAAAAUGCGUAGAUAUCUGGAGGAACACCGGUGGCGAAGGCGGCAUCCUGGACCGACACUGACGCUGAGGCGCGAAAGCUAGGGUAGCAAACGGG
rnacentral:rRNA from 1 species